rnacentral:rRNA from 1 species
CAUGCAAGUCGAGCGGUAACAGGGGGUGCUUGCACCCCGCUGACGAGCGGCGGACGGGUGAGUAAUGCAUAGGAAACUGCCCAGUAGUGGGGGAUAGCCCGGGGAAACCCGGAUUAAUACCGCGUACGCCCUUCGGGGGAAAGCAGGGGAUCUUCGGACCUUGCGCUAUUGGAUGUGCCUAUGUCGGAUUAGCUAGUUGGUGGGGUAAAGGCCUACCAAGGCGACGAUCCGUAGCUGGUCUGAGAGGAUGAUCAGCCACAUCGGGACUGAGACACGGCCCGAACUCCUACGGGAGGCAGCAGUGGGGAAUAUUGGACAAUGGGGGCAACCCUGAUCCAGCCAUGCCGCGUGUGUGAAGAAGGCUUUCGGGUUGUAAAGCACUUUCAGUGAGGAGGAAGGCCUUAAGGUUAAUACCCUUGAGGAUUGACGUUACUCACAGAANAANCACCGGCUAACUCCGUGCCAGCAGCCGCGGUAAUACGGANGGUGCAAGCGUUAAUCGGAAUUACUGGGCGUAAACNCNCGUGNGUGGGUUGAUAAACNANAUGUGAAAAACCCCGGGNCUUAACCGGGGACCGGCCUUUCGAACUGUCAGGCU